rnacentral:rRNA from 1 species
GACGAACGCUGGCGGCGUGCCUAAUACAUGCAAGUUGAGCGAUGAAGCUUGGUGCUUGCACCAAUUUGAAGAGCAGCGAACGGGUGAGUAACGCGUGGGGAAUCUGCCUUUGAGCGGGGGACAGCAUUUGGAAACGAAUGCUAAUACCGCAUAACAACUUUAAACAUAAGUUUUAAGUUUGAAAGAUGCAAUUGCAUCACUCAAAGAUGAUCCCGCGUUGUAUUAGCUAGUUGGUGAGGUAAAGGCUCAACAAGGCGAUGAUACAUAGCCGACCUGAGAGGGUGGUCCGCCACAUUGGGACUGAGACACGGCCCAAACCCCUACGGGAGGCAGCAGUAGGGAAUCUUCGGCAAUGGACGAAAGUCUGACCGAGCAACGCCGCGUGAGUGAAGAAGGUUGUCGGAUCGUAAAACUCUGUUGGUAGAGAAGAACGUUGGUGAGAGUGGAAAGCUCAUAAAGUGACGGUAACUACCCAGAAAGGGACGGCUAACUACGUG